rnacentral:rRNA from 1 species
GAAUCUGCCCUUAGGAGAAGAAUAACUGCUGGAAACGGCUGCUAAAUCUUCAUAUGACCGAGAGGUGAAAUAGUUUAGGCUGCCUAAGGAUGAGCUCACGCCUGAUUAGCUAGUUGGUAAGGUAAUGGCUUACCAAGGCCACGAUCAGUAGCUGGUUUGAGAGAACGAUCAGCCACACUGGGACUGAGACACGGCCCAUGACUCCUCCGGGAGGCAGCAGUGAGGAAUUUUCCGCAAUGGGCGAAAGCCUGACGGAGCAAUACCGCGUGAGGGAUGAAGGAUUUUGGUCUGUAAACCUCUUUUCUCAAGAAAGAAGUUCUGACGGUACUUGAGGAAUAAGCAUCGGCUAACUCCGUGCCAGCAGCCGCGGUAAUACGGGGGAUGCAAGCGUUAUCCGGAAUCAUUGGGCGUAAAGCGCCUGUAGGUUGUUUACUAAGUCUGUUGUUAAAGACUAGGGCUUAACCCUAGAAAAGCAAUGGAAACUUGUAGACUAGAGUAUGGGCAGGGGGUUAGAGGGGAAAUUUCUAGUGUAGCGGUGAAAAUGCGUAGGAUAUUAGAAAAGAACACCAGUGGCGAAAAGCGCUCUACUGGACCAUUACUGACACUCAGAGGCGAAAAGCUAGGGUAGCAAAAGGGAUUAGAUACCCCUGUAGUCCUAGCCGUAAACGAUG